GACGAACGCUGGCGGCGUGCUUAACACAUGCAAGUCGAACGGAAAGGCCCUGCUUUUGUGGGGUGCUCGAGUGGCGAACGGGUGAGUAACACGUGAGUAACCUGCCCUUGACUUUGGGAUAACUUCAGGAAACUGGGGCUAAUACCGGAUAGGAGCUCCUGCUGCAUGGUGGGGGUUGGAAAGUUUCGGCGGUUGGUGAUGGACUCGCGGCUUAUCAGCUUGUUGGUGGGGUAGUGGCUUACCAAGGCUUUGACGGGUAGCCGGCCUGAGAGGGUGACCGGCCACAUUGGGACGGAGAUACGGCCCAGACUACUACGGGAGGCAGCAGUGGGGAAUAUUGCACAAUGGGCGGAAGCCUGAUGCAGCAACGCCGCGUGCGGGAUGACGGCCUUCGGGUUGUAAACCGCUUUCGCCUGUGACGAAGCGUGAGUGACGGUAAUGGGUAAAGAAGCACCGGCUAACUACGUG
rnacentral:rRNA from 1 species